UCGGGAAUUUUGGGCAAUGGGCGAAAGCCUGACCCAGCAACGCCGCGUGAAGGAUGAAGUAUUUCGGUAUGUAAACUUCGAAAGAAUAGGAAGAAUAAAUGACGGUACCUGGAGAAUAAGCCCCGGCAAACUUCGUGCCAGCAGCCGCGGUAAUACGAAGGGGGCUAGCGUUGUUCGGAAUUACUGGGCGUAAAGCGCACGUAGGCGGAUUGUUAAGUCAGAGGUGAAAUCCCGGAGCUCAACCUCGGAACUGCCUUUGAUACUGGCAAUCUAGAGUCCGGAAGAGGUUAGUGGAAUUCCCAGUGUAGAGGUGAAAUUCGUAGAUAUUGGGAAGAACACCAGUGGCGAAGGCGGCUAACUGGUCCGGUACUGACGCUGAGGUGCGAAAGCGUGGGGAGCAAACAGGAUUAGAUACCCCUGUAGUCCCUGAGCGGGCUGGCAAGGCGCAU
rnacentral:rRNA from 1 species